rnacentral:rRNA from 1 species
GACGAACGCUGGCGGCGUGCUUAACACAUGCAAGUCGAACGAAAAGAGGGAAAGAGCUUGCUCUUUCCGGAAUUGAGUGGCAAACGGGUGAGUAACACGUAAACAACCUGCCUUCAGGAUGGGGACAACAGACGGAAACGACUGCUAAUACCGAAUAAGUUCCAAGAGCCGCAUGGCCCAUGGAAGAAAAGGUGGCCUCUACCUGUAAGCUAUCGCCUGAAGCGGGGUUUGCGUCUGAUUAGCUGGUUGGGGGGGUAACAGCCCACCAAGGCGACGAUCAGGUACCGGGCUGAGGAGAUGAACCGCCACAAUGGAACUGGGGCAAGGUCCAGGACUCUACGGGGAGGAGCAGGUGGGGAAUGUCCGAAAUGGGGGGAAGCCUUACGGAGGAACGCCGGGUGGGUGAUGGCAGGCUUCGGGGUUGAAAACUCUGUGUGCCGGGACGAAAAGGCAGAGGGCUAAUAACAAGCUGUAUUGACGGUACCGGAAGAACAAGCCACGGCUAACUACGUG